UGGGGAAUCUUCCGCAAUGGACGAAAGUCUGACGGAGCAACGCCGCGUGUAUGAUGAAGGUCUUCGGAUUGUAAAGUACUGUCAUUGGGGAAGAACGGUUUUCUUGAAAAGAUUGAGAAGACAUGACGGUACCCAAGGAGGAAGCCCCGGCUAACUACGUGCCAGAGCCGCGGUAAUACGUAGGGGGCAAGCGUUGUCCGGAAUUAUUGGGCGUAAAGGGCGCGUAGGCGGGCCUUUAAGUCCGGUGUGAAAGAUCAGGGCUCAACCCUGAGAGUGCAUCGGAAACUGGAGGCCUUGAGGACAGGAGAGGAAAGUGGAAUUCCACGUGUAGCGGUGAAAUGCGUAGAUAUGUGGAGGAACACCAGUGGCGAAGGCGACUUUCUGGACUGUAACUGACGCUGAGGCGCGAAAGCGUGGGGAGCAAACAGGAUUAGAUACCCUGGUAGUCCACGCCGUAAACGAUGAGUGCUAGGUGUAGAGGGUAUCACCCCCUUCUGUG
rnacentral:rRNA from 1 species